CUCCAGCAAUUUGAAUCAAAGAGAUAUCAAAGGUGUGGGUCCCACUAAUAAUUGUAAAAGCUUCUUUCCUUUUCAAUUCUGCUAUUCACGUGCAGUGCAGAUUUUUUUUUUUUUCACUUUCCAAUUCAAUUCUUAUACGGACCCCACAAAAAGAAGUUCACGUUUUCAUCAUUCUGCACCAAAUACACUUGGAAAUUGGAAUACCAUUUCCAAAUCAAUUCUCCAAACCAUUGGCAGCCCCACAAUUCUCCUCUCACAAACCCCACACCAAGUUUCAUCCAUUGCAAGAUUCUCACCAAAAUUGAAGUUUCUUUAUUACUGUACAUGUAAUGAAUUAUAUCAAUUCAACAAAGUAACCGCUGGUCCCCACAAGAAGUCUCCAAUUGUCAAAUCCCACAAAAUUGCUUUUGAAAUUAGAAGCAAAAAUCACGCUGCCUGCACUCCAAUUUCUCACCAAAUUUCACGCCAAUCACCGAGCUACUUCAGAAAUAAACUUCUAUGAAUUCCACUGUGUAAUUUUAGUUUGCGGGAAGCUCCCAAUCAAUUCUUCAUGAACGUCCAAAUCUCACAAUGCAAGUUCUCGUACAACACCCACUAUUUGUCUCAAUUUUUCAGCUGCAACUAAUUUGACACCAACAAAACUAAGCCAAUGUAAUUGUAACACAGAAAUCAUAAAAUUCUGCACCAAAUAAUACAGCAACUAAAUGGCAACAAAAAUAUUCACUGCACCCCAAAGCAGACAAAUCAAGACUGCACCAACAAACUAUGCUUCAAACAAACAGCAAAAAUAAGCAACUGUAAACAGCCAACUCAUUUCAAUCAGUGCUUUGCACCAGAAAUUUCUGUACCAAAAAUCUGCUCUAGAAUUAGACAAAUCGGUGCCAAUUGGUUCCAAAAUAUUCUGCACUACCAAUUUUCUGGACUACACCAGCAGCAAUAUUAAUCAAGCAACAACACCUCCUCUGCAUUGCAAAUGAAAUUCAGAGGCACAAUUUCAAUUAGAAACUACAAGAGCAAAACCAGAAACACAAAGAAGCUUGAUUCCAAAUGAACUGCCCCAAAACAAUUUAUCAAACACCUUGGCUGCACUAAGACACAAUCGAACCAAAUUUCUCCAAGCGAUUCACUCACUGAAAGAAGGCCCAGGCUGUGAGGAGAUUGAUUCACCGAAUUCACCAAAUUCGAUUUUCCAGUUUCAAUUUUCUUCAACACCUCACCGUUUCUCCAUUUAAACUUCUCCAAGACGAAGAACAGUGAAGGAAAAACGAGAACGGAAGAAGGAACUUACAUGAAUCAAUUCAUUUUUUACUGCUUUAAUUCUCCGAUCGUCUUCUCCGUUCAAUAGUUUCGCUGGGAAACGUCACUGCCGUUUGCGAUUCCUCCGUUCGCAAUUCCUCCGUGCGCUUCCGAUUUAGGUCGUCGGAAAUCUCUAACCUCCGAUUGGCACCAUUAUUAUUCUUCGAUCAAUCUUCGCACACCGAUUCAAGAUGAAACUGAAGAAGAAAAAUGGAACAGAAGAUGAAGAACAGCAACGCAAAUCGCAGAGAAAAUUUCCAGGAAAAAUCUGAAAAACCUACAUAUCUGCUAUUCGUACCACUGGAUUCAUUGUCCACACCAAAUAUCCAAUGAUAUCUCCAAACAGGUUGAGAUUAAUAUGCACACCACUGGAAUCGCUUUUUGCACCACAGAGAAUUUUUCAGAAAUUUUUUUCGAGAAUUUUCG
rnacentral:lncRNA from 1 species